UACGGAGGGGGCUAGCGUUGUUCGGAAUAACUGGGCGUAAAGCGCAUGUAGGCGGAUCUUUAAGUCAGAGGUGAAAUCCCAGGGCUCAACCCCGGCAUUGCCUUUGAUACUGGAGAUCUGGAGUCUGGGAGAGGUGAGUGGAAUUCCGAGUGUAGAGGUGAAAUUCGUAGAUAUUCGGAGGAACACCAGUGGCGAAGGCGGCUCACUGGCCCGAGACUGACGCUGAGAUGCGAAGGCGUGGGGAGCAAACAGG
rnacentral:rRNA from 1 species